rnacentral:rRNA from 1 species
AGAGUUUGAUCCUGGCUCAGAACGAACGCUGGCGGCAGGCUUAACACAUGCAAGUCGAACGCCCCGCAAGGGGAGUGGCAGACGGGUGAGUAACGCGUGGGAACGUACCCUUUCCUGCGGAAUAGCUCCGGGAAACUGGAAUUAAUACCGCAUACGCCCUACGGGGGAAAGAUUUAUCGGGGAAGGAUUGGCCCGCGUUGGAUUAGCUAGUUGGUGGGGUAAAGGCCUACCAAGGCGACGAUCCAUAGCUGGUCUGAGAGGAUGAUCAGCCACAUUGGGACUGAGACACGGCCCAAACUCCUACGGGAGGCAGCAGUGGGGAAUAUUGGACAAUGGGCGCAAGCCUGAUCCAGCCAUGCCGCGUGAGUGAUGAAGGCCUUAGGGUUGUAAAGCUCUUUCACCGGAGAAGAUAAUGACGGUAUCCGGAGAAGAAGCCCCGGCUAACUUCGUGCCAGCAGCCGCGGUAAUACGAAGGGGGCUAGCGUUGUUCGGAAUUACUGGGCGUAAAGCGCACGUAGGCGGAUAUUUAAGUCAGGGGUGAAAUCCCAGAGCUCAACUCUGGAACUGCCUUUGAUACUGGGUAUCUUGAGUAUGGAAGAGGUAAGUGGAAUUCCGAGUGUAGAGGUGAAAUUCGUAGAUAUUCGGAGGAACACCAGUGGCGAAGGCGGCCUACUGGUCCAUUACUGGCGCUGAGGUGCGA